GCACUGCUGAAAAGUUUCACAAUAGGACGAAACGGACGUCCAGUGC
rnacentral:hammerhead_ribozyme from 1 species